UAAAGAUGAAAAGGAAGACAGCUAAACAAAUACAAAGAUAUUAAAAUAAUCCCAGUAUUUAGGAGUCUGAAGCAUGUAAACACCUAACUUAACUCCAGAUCACACUGUGUUCACUGAGAAAUCCUAGACAAGGCAGAUUCUCUAAACUUGAAAUUUGAUAUUAAAUGAGAGGAAUAUAAAAGGGGGAGAUGGGCUAGAUAGAAUUUUUUAUUGCAACUAUGAGGACCUGAGUUUGAAUGUCUGGUAUCUACAUAAAGGAGAGGUGCCCAUGUCUGUAACCAGAGUCCUGAGUAGCAGAUACUGUUGGAGCCCAAGAGCUCAUGGCUGUGAGCCUAGCUGAAGUGGCAACCUUCUGCUUCAGUGAAAUACUUUAUUGGAGAAGACAUGGUAGACAGUGAUGAGAGACUAUCCUGGCCUCCCUCGCUAACCUCCACAUGCAACAGUACGGGCCAGCAAGCUGGUUGAGGAGCUAUGUCAAACAGACCAUGUGUGCUAUGCUGUCUCUCAUUUAGGCAAGGAUAUGGUUCUUUGCUUAGCUUCUGGGAAUGAGGAUGAGUGAUUGGCACAGUUGUAUUCCUGCCUCUGCCUGCUUUCUUUCAGGAACAGUGUUCCCUCACAGAGCUGGUCACAUGUGAAAUCCUGUCUCUCUGAGCUUCAUUCCAGACUAUGAUUCGGAGCAGAUUGCUACCUGGUAGAACACUGAGUGGUGCUAACCUAAAAGUUCUUUCAUUUUAUCUAGAUUCAUAUAUCAGAAGACAAGAAGACAGUCUGGUGACACUCGCUUUGGAUGUGGAGACUGAACCAUGAGGGGAGGCAGCUUUGUCACCAGAGCCUUCUAGCUGCAGACUUGGGGGUUCUUUUUAAAUAUGGCUUCUUGCCACUGCUCUGUUGAUGUGGGGAGUAGAGAGGGUUUUCCCAGCAGAGUGCCAUGCAGCUGGUGGGCAUGUUUUUUUGUUCGCUCUCUCUCUCUCUCUCUCUCUCUCUCUCUCUCUCUCUCUCUCUCUCUCUCUCUCUCUCUCCAUAUAUAUAUAUGAAGAGCACUAGUACUGGAAGUAUAGUGUGAGUUUUCUGAGGCUUUCUCUUUGUCUUGAAGCAUUAUCACCACCCCUCUGAAGUUCAGAGACAGACUAUCACUCUGCACUUGUUUCUGCACCUUCCAGAACAGGCUAGAUUCAUUCUCUUGCUCUGUCUCUCUCCUCUGCAUGCUUUGCUAUCAAACUGAAUAUUUCUCUGUCAUCACUGACUAUCCAGAGUUUUAUCUCACAAGGCUUCAGCAAUCUGCCUGUGGGCAUUAUCUUCCACCUUAACAGUCCCGCAAAAAUAAUAAUCAGAUGUAACUUCUAUUCUGGUUGUAGCUACAUGAUUGCUUGGUGUCAUCCUCUGCCUUUGUAACCCCCAGCUGGCUUUACUGUAACCACUGUUAAAAUCAUCCUUUCAUUUGUAGGUAGACAUGAAGAUUCGUGAUGGUAAGAGUUAAAUCUGCAGUGCUUGGUCUACAGAAAUCACCUAAUAAAUAUUUGAUUAAUUAAGGGUGAAUAGAUUUUUUCAAAACAUAAAUUGUUAAAUAUAGGUGCUAUUCUGAAAAUAUGCUUACAUUGAGAAAAAAAACUCACAUCAAGAAAUAUACUUGGAAAUAAAAAGGAAUUUGGUAAGCAGUGGGUUUGUGCUUCACCGUACCCGAGGGGAAAUGUGGAAAUUUUAUGCAUUUGUAAGGUGGCCAAGUGAUCCUGCGUUCCAGAUAAUGACAGCAAAUAGAGAGCUCAGUCCAUUAUCUGAAGUGACACAAAUGGUAAGAGAAUAUUGACAGCUAGAGCAAAAUACAUGGGCAAUUGCCGACAACGGUUCCCUGGAACUCGGGGAAUGCAUGAUCUUGAAGCAAAUCAUUUAAUCUCUUGAUGUCUCAUUUCAACGACUGAGUAUAUAAUGAAUGACUAUUAUUAACUACCACAUGGGGUAUUGUGGGACUUAAUUUGCUAAUGUUUAUAAAGUGCUUCAGAUUGUCUGAUUAAAGUAUGAAGUAUCAUCAUUAUAUUAUAAAAGAGUAUGUGAAAUUUCAUUUUAAUUUCAUAAAUAUGAAAUUAUACCUUUCCACUGCUACUUAAAAAUAUCCUGAAGUCCUACACAUAAAUUGGUGUGUUUGAAUCUGAGUCUCUAGGCAUUCGCAGUGACUGUUCUCGUGGUCAUCUACCUACUUUGUCCUUUAUUUUUUCUUCAUUGCUUUGUAAGCUUACAAGAUUUCAACUUGGGCUGGCUAGAAAGGGAUCAAUAGCUUUCAGAUAAAUUAUUACCCAGGUAAGUUGAGAGUGAUGUGUUAUGGUGAGUUUUUCUUUCAAGUUUCCCUUUUUCUUCAUGGGAUAAUUCCCUUAUAUUCAAAUCCAAUUGCACUCCCUCUGUGCCAAUAUUCUCCACACCAAACAAUUAUCCUCAUAUAGCAAUCAUGGAGUGAGGGAGGGAAAGCCCAUGGGCUCACUGCUUUCUCCUGGAAAUGCUUUGCUGGGAAUCCUGACUUUCCAUGGCUAGGCUGUUCCUCAAGCUGCAGACAUGGAGAUUCUGUAAGACAUUCUGGUGUAUCUCCCUGUUUUCUAUACAGGCAGCUCAUGACUGUCCAUAGCCCUGCUCCAGGAAUCAGCUGACCUCCUCUGUCCUCCAUAGGCACUGCACACAGAUCCACAUAUCUCUACAGGGAUGUCAUGGGUACACAACUCAAAACAAAAUCAAUUUUUAAAAAGACUUAGUGCAUCAAUUUUACCAUUUUCCACUUACAAGUAUUUUCAUUUUUAUACUCAAUCCGUCAGCUUUUGGAAGAGAGAUUCGAGUUAUUUUGGUCCUCAGUGCUGUGAACUGCAUGGCUCCUAGGUUGCAGUGUUUAGAAGCUCGCCUCAGAUAUCUGAUAACAGCUGCCUGACAGCCUCCAUUUAAGGACAAAAGACUGGCUGGGCUCUGCGUUUGGGAGAAGAAUUUUCAAUGAGUGAAUUUAUCUAAGGUACCUCCUCGACCGCUUUAU
rnacentral:lncRNA from 1 species